rnacentral:rRNA from 1 species
AGAGUUUGAUCAUGGCUCAGAUUGAACGCUGGCGGCAGGCCUAACACAUGCAAGUCGAACGGUAACAGGAAGCAGCUUGCUGCUUCGCUGACGAGUGGCGGACGGGUGAGUAAUGUCUGGGAAGCUGCCUGAUGGAGGGGGAUAACUACUGGAAACGGUAGCUAAUACCGCAUAAUGUCGCAAGACCAAAGAGGGGGACCUUCGGGCCUCUUGCCAUCGGAUGUGCCCAGAUGGGAUUAGCUUGUUGGUGGGGUAACGGCUCACCAAGGCGACGAUCCCUAGCUGGUCUGAGAGGAUGACCAGCCACACUGGAACUGAGACACGGUCCAGACUCCUACGGGAGGCAGCAGUGGGGAAUAUUGCACAAUGGGCGCAAGCCUGAUGCAGCCAUGCCGCGUGUAUGAAGAAGGCCUUCGGGUUGUAAAGUACUUUCAGCGGGGAGGAAGGGAGUAAAGUUAAUACCUUUGCUCAUUGACGUUACCCGCAGAAGAAGCACCGGCUAACUCCGUGCCAGCAGCCGCGGUAAUACGGAGGGUGCAAGCGUUAAUCGGAAUUACUGGGCGUAAAGCGCACGCAGGCGGUUUGUUAAGUCAGAUGUGAAAUCCCCGGGCUCAACCUGGGAACUGCAUCUGAUACUGGCAAGCUUGAGUCUCGUAGAGGGGGGUAGAAUUCCAGGUGUAGCGGUGAAAUGCGUAGAGAUCUGGAGGAAUACCGGUGGCGAAGGCGGCCCCCUGGACGAAGACUGACGCUCAGGUGCGAAAGCGUGGGGAGCAAACAGGAUUAGAUACCCUGGUAGUCCACGCCGUAAACGAUGUCGACUUGGAGGUUGUGCCCUUGAGGCGUGGCUUCCGGAGCUAACGCGUUAAGUCGACCGCCUGGGGAGUACGGCCGCAAGGUUAAAACUCAAAUGAAUUGACGGGGGCCCGCACAAGCGGUGGAGCAUGUGGUUUAAUUCGAUGCAACGCGAAGAACCUUACCUGGUCUUGACAUCCACGGAAGUUUUCAGAGAUGAGAAUGUGCCUUCGGGAACCGUGAGACAGGUGCUGCAUGGCUGUCGUCAGCUCGUGUUGUGAAAUGUUGGGUUAAGUCCCGCAACGAGCGCAACCCUUAUCCUUUGUUGCCAGCGGUCCGGCCGGGAACUCAAAGGAGACUGCCAGUGAUAAACUGGAGGAAGGUGGGGAUGACGUCAAGUCAUCAUGGCCCUUACGACCAGGGCUACACACGUGCCACAAUGGCGCAUACAAAGAGAAGCGACCUCGCGAGAGCAAGCGGACCUCAUAAAGUGCGUCGUAGUCCGGAUUGGAGUCUGCAACUCGACUCCAUGAAGUCGGAAUCGCUAGUAAUCGUGGAUCAGAAUGCCACGGUGAAUACGUUCCCGGGCCUUGUACACACCGCCCGUCACACCAUGGGAGUGGGUUGCAAAAGAAGUAGGUAGCUUAACCUUCGGGAGGGCGCUUACCACUUUGUGAUUCAUGACUGGGGUGAAGUCGUAACAAGGUA